UACGAAGGGGGCUAGCGUUGUUCGGAAUUACUGGGCGUAAAGGGCGCGUAGGCGGCGUGUCAAGUCAGGCGUGAAAUCCCCAGGCUCAACCUGGGAACUGCGUCUGAUACUGGAUGGCUUGAAUCCGGGAGAGGGAUGCAGAAUUCCAGGUGUAGCGGUGAAAUGCGUAGAUAUCUGGAGGAAUACCGGUGGCGAAGGCGGCAUCCUGGACCGGCAUUGACGCUGAGGAGCGAAAGCCAGGGGAGCAAACGGG
rnacentral:rRNA from 1 species